GCCCCCAUCGUCUAGUGGUUU
rnacentral:tRNA from 1 species